AUAUGAAGCUAUAAAGCAGUUAGUUUCGACCUAACAACCUGAUUUUAAAAUCCAUAUU
rnacentral:tRNA from 1 species